UACGUAGGGCGCAAGCGUUAUCCGGAAUUAUUGGGCGUAAAGAGCUCGUAGGCGGUUUGUCGCGUCUGCCGUGAAAGUCCGGGGCUCAACUCCGGAUCUGCGGUGGGUACGGGCAGACUAGAGUGAUGUAGGGGAGACUGGAAUUCCUGGUGUAGCGGUGAAAUGCGCAGAUAUCAGGAGGAACACCGGUGGCGAAGGCGGUUCUCUGGGCAUUACCUGACGCUGAGGAGCGAAAGUGUGGGGGAGCGAACAGG
rnacentral:rRNA from 1 species